rnacentral:rRNA from 2 species
GUAGUCAUAUGCUUGUCUCAAAGAUUAAGCCAUGCAUGUCUAAGUAUAAGCAAUUAUACAGUGAAACUGCGAAUGGCUCAUUAAAUCAGUUAUCGUUUAUUUGAUAGUACCUUUACUACUUGGAUAACCGUGGUAAUUCUAGAGCUAAUACAUGCUAAAAAUCCCGACUGUUUGGAAGGGAUGUAUUUAUUAGAUAAAAAACCAAUGCACUUCGGUGCUCUUUGGUGAUUCAUAAUAACUUCUCGAAUCGCAAGGCUUCAUGCUGGCGAUGGUUCAUUCAAAUUUCUGCCCUAUCAACUUUCGAUGGUAGGAUAGUGGCCUACCAUGGUUUCAACGGGUAACGGGGAAU